rnacentral:rRNA from 1 species
UACGGAGGGGACUAGCGUUGUUCGGAAUUACUGGGCGUAAAGCGCACGUAGGCGGAUUUGUAAGUCAGGGGUGAAAUCCCGGGGCUCAACCUCGAAACUGCCUUUGAUACUGCAAAUCUCGAGUCCGAUAGAGGUGGGUGGAAUUCCUAGUGUAGAGGUGAAAAUUCGUAGAUAUUAGGAAGAACACCGGUGGCGAAGGCGGCCCACUGGAUCGGUACUGACGCUGAGGUGCGAAAGCGUGGGGAGCAAACAGG